UACGUAGGGUGCAAGCGUUGUCCGGAAUUAUUGGGCGUAAAGAGCUCGUAGGCGGUUUGUCGCGUCUGCUGUGAAAACCUAAGGCUCAACCUUGGGCUUGCAGUGGGUACGGGCAGACUAGAGUGCGGUAGGGGUGACUGGAAUUCCUGGUGUAGCGGUGGAAUGCGUAGAGAUCCGGAAGAACACCGGAGGCGAAGGCGGCUCGCUGGGCCUGAUCUGACGCUGAGGCGCGAAGGCGUGGGGAGCGAAUAGG
rnacentral:rRNA from 1 species